rnacentral:rRNA from 1 species
UACGUAGGGGGCAAGCGUUGUCCGGAUUUAUUGGGCGUAAAGAGCGUGUAGGCGGCCAAGCAGGUCCGCUGUGAAAACUCGAGGCUCAACCUCGAGACGUCGGUGGAAACCGUUUGGCUAGAGUCCGGAAGAGGAGGGUGGAAUUCCCGGUGUAGCGGUGAAAUGCGUAGAUAUCGGGAAGAACACCCGUGGCGAAGGCGGCUCUCUGGGACGGUACUGACGCUGAGACGCGAAAGCGUGGGGAGCGAACAGG